rnacentral:rRNA from 1 species
CUGACUGUGCAAAGGUAGCAUAAUAACUUGCCUUUUAAUUGAAGGAUAGAAUGAAUGACUAGACGAAGAUAUAGCUGUCUUAUAAAUAUUUAUUAGAAGUUGAUUUUUAGGUCAAAAAGCCUAAAUAUGAUUAAGGGACGAGAAGACCCUAUUAAGCUUUAAAGAAGUUGUUAAUUGCUGCUAUCAAUAAAAUAAGUUAUUAACAAUGAAAUUUUAGUUGGGGCGACUUAGGAGCAAUCAAAACCUCCUUUAAUAAAGUAAAAUUUAAUGUGGAUCCAAUGAAUUUUGAACUAAGAACAAGUUACUAUAGGGAUAACAGCGUAAUUUCAUUUGAGAGUUCUAAUCGAAAGUGAAGUUUGCGACCUCGAUGUUGGAUUAGGAAGUAAUAAAGGUUGCAGAAGCUUUUAUAAUUAGUCUGUUCGACUACUAAUAUCUUACAUGAUCUGA